GAGGCAAUUGUUGUGUAGCAGGUGGUGGAUCAUCAUGGGUGGUGAUGCCAUCGCCCUGAUCAGCACUGGUUAAGCUUCCGGUGGCAGGAGGAGAGUCAUGAGGCCUCAGUGGACGCACUUUGGACUGAAAUGGAGGGAACUCGGCAGGGGUGACGAGCAUGGACGACGCCAUCCACACAGCCACCAGGCAGAGCGCGACGAAUACGGCGACGGUGGUUGUGGAGCAGCAGAGGUAGGACGACUGCGGCGGACGCCGGACAUCGAGCCGCGUGUGGCCGAACGGCAUAUCGAUCGGUGGGUCCGAAUCCAAUUCUCACAUCCAACGCUGUGAGCAAUCAGCUGCCUGGACCAAAACAGUUCAAGGGUAAGAAUCGAGGACAGGAGGGGAACUAGCGAAAUUGGCAACGAGUCCCAGAAGGAAAUUGAAAUCGAAUUGCAGGAGCAUCAGGAGAGAGGAGAAGUGAUCUGGUACGUACCUUGUGGCAAUGAAUCGAUGAGAGGGGAUGGGUUGAAGCAGGGGACUUGAUCCAGAUUCCGCUUGUCGGCCGCUAAGAACAGACGCCGAAA